GAUGAACGCUGGCGGCGUGCCUAAUACAUGCAAGUCGAGCGAACAGAUGAGGAGCUUGCUCCUCUGACGUUAGCGGCGGACGGGUGAGUAACACGUGGAUAACCUACCUAUAAGACUGGGAUAACUUCGGGAAACCGGAGCUAAUACCGGAUAAUAUAUUGAACCGCAUGGUUCAAUAGUGAAAGACGGUUUUGCUGUCACUCAUAGCUCGAUCCGCGCCGCAUUUGCUAGUUGGUACGGUCAGGGCUUACCACGGCGCCGAUGCGUAGCCGACCUGAGAGGGUGCUCGCCCACACUAGAACUGAGACCCGGUCCAGACGCCUACGGGAGGCCGCCGUCGGGCAUCUUCCGCAAUGGGCGAAAGCCUGACCGAGCAAUGCCGCGUGAGUGAUGAAGGCCUUCGGAGCGUAAAGCGCUGUUAUGCGGGAAGAACAAAUGUGUAAGUAACUAUGCACGUCUUGACGGUACCUAAUCAGAAAGCAACGGCUAACUACGUG
rnacentral:rRNA from 1 species